UUCUCGCCGACGGCGAUCAUUCCAUCGCUGUCUCUGAAGGCUGGGGUUCUCAUUUCGCGAGCUCUUAUUAGCACUGCGUGACGCAGAACCCGCUGUUGCUCUUCGGCCUCUUGGAUUACUGCGUUUGUCAGCUCGGAAAAGAACGUCUCUCCGCCAGAGUUUGGAUUAAGGGAACAUGAAGGCACAGAACGAGCAAGUUAUCAGCCGAUGCAUGGCCAAGUUGUCCGAAGGUCGCGUCUCCCGCAAGGAGCGCGACCUGAACCACGAAGAGAUGCACUCGCUGCUCGGCAAGCUCAAGGAGCUGGUUCCCACUAUGCCUCGCAACAAGAAGCUCACCAAGCUGGAGAUAAUCCAGAACGUCAUCGAUUACAUCCUCGACCUGGAGAUCGCCCUGGAGACGCACCCCGCCAACUGCUCUUCGCGCCCUUCGGCGUCCGCUACGAGUCCGGUGCGGCAGCCUCUGGGCGUUCUGCCUCCCUCGGCCAAUUCGGCGCUCAACACUUGCUCACUUAAGGAGGUAUCGAACACCGAGAAAGCCACUAGUCACCUGGCCGAGCUCUUGUCGGCUGCAGUGUCGUCUCCCCGCCCUGUGUCAUGCUAAGACUCACGAGGCGCUCGGAAGAGCGUCUCCCAUCUAAGUUCGCUCGGGGCACGCCUUCGAAAGUCGGUUCAUCACCGAAAAGGCAGCCCUGGGCUUGUACCUCUAGCCACGGAAGUGAACGAAGACGUAUCAUCGGUAGCCACAGGCGCUGGUGUCGGCCUGGAAGCCUGCUGAUGCGGAAACAACCCUGCAGAAAGCCCCUGCUUCAUUCUGACACCACACUGAACCAGUUGCAACCGGGCUGAAUUUUCGCAGUGACCUCCUAUCAGAACCCAAUGGCUUUCAAGUGCUCGAUGCGGACAAGUAUGGCUUGACAUCCCUACCUGCCAUGUGUAGCCGUGCUUGCACAAAGCCAGUCGACCCACUUGGAGCUCCUGUGAAGCUGAUACGACUUUGCUGGUAAGUAGCCGUGCUCCUGACGUAUACCGGACGGAAUCAACGUCACAUGGUGCGAGGCGUGGUUCAUCAAGCCCGCAGAGGAACUACCACAGCCCAAGAAAAGCAGAGACCUCUAGCGCCGCACUUGAAAAGGCAGUGCGCAGCGACAACCACAGCAGCGACGACAUCGCGUUACGUGGGCUGUCUAAAAAGCAAUAAAAGGCCGAGUUUGUGCAAUGAAAAC